GAAGGACCUGGCCACCCACUUGUGAAAAAAUUGGCCACAAAAACCCUGUGAAUAGCAGCAGAGCAUUGUCUGAUACAGCACCAGGAGAGAGAUGGACUGGGGCAGCCCUGGAGUUGCAGUUCAGGAAUACAGAAGGUUCAGAUGUUCGGAAUGUCCGUGAAAGGCUGGCCCUGACCCGCCUGAUGUAGGGACAUGAUUCAUCUCCAGGCUCAAGCCCAUCAUUCAAAGAAAACACCGGAAGAGACUAGGUGUUCUGUGAAAUGGCGUAUUCCGAAGUCUCUGUCACUGAGAGAAGGAUGUAAGCGCAGGAUCAAAGCAUCAUCUUCAAAGAAGGAGCUGUGUGAUCUCUGUCUCUGAAAAUCUCCUCUGUUGACCUCUCAUCGAAGCCAACUUCCUCUGCUUAGUCAUCUUGCUUACUUCACCUAGCACAGUGCCAGUCCAGCUCUACAUCAUGAUCUCCAAGCUCCAGUAACUGCCACCAACUGACAACAGUCUCCAUAUCUCUUCUGGCAAACUCUCACAUGGAAGAGACUUUUCAGACCAUAUCAUGCUUUUCUCACAAUGGAGCAGCAGCUUUGGGUUGGAGAAGGGUCAUGGGGUAUAGAGGAGUGCAGAAUAGAUCCUUUAGAAGGGGCCAUGGAUGGGGCAGACAAUGAGACCUAUUUAUUAUAUCCUCGCUUAUCUAUGUUUCCAUCACAAUCUGUAUCAUGCUUUAUGAUCUAGUCUAGGAUACACAAGAGGGCGGGUAAUCAUAGCAGUGAAUCACUGUGUAGAGUGUGGUGUCUGCUCUAAAUGGGUUUAUAAUCUGGUUGAUGAGAUAAGACACAGCCCAAGAAAAGGAAACGAGUCAUACCAGGCAGUGCCUGAUGAGCAUCAGAUGACUAGCACAGACACUAGGGGUUUUUAAAGAGUUAGAGAAGGGAGAGAUCAUUGUGGGUAAGAAAGUUCAAGGAGGAUUUCCCAAGAGAGGUGGGGACAGAAGUGGGUCUUGAGGGAUGGGAAGGAUUCGGAGAGAAAGGGGAGAGGAGAGGCUUUCUAGAUUGGAGUGGAGGAGGGGAGAGUGGGAAUGCAUGAUGCAUGUUCAGGGCACAAUGAAUAGGCCAACGUGUUCUGGGCGCAAGAUGUGUGUUGAAAAGUACUAGAAGCUAAGACAGGAAAAGAAGGGAGAAACAAAAUUGUGUAUGACCUUGAAUACCAAACUAAAUAUUUUGGAUUUGAUUUUGAACAUUUUAUUAAUGAGGUUUGAGCAGGGCUUGGCAUGGUCAGGGCAGUGCUCUAGGACGACCCACUGAAGUGAAGUAUGCCAGAGGCC
rnacentral:lncRNA from 1 species